GGUUUAACAAUGGCUUAGAUUAUUAAGAGAGAAAAGCUUGCCAGUCCCUACUUAGUUGCAUAUUGGAAGCCACUUCACAUAGCUGAUGGCAAGAUUGCCAACCCUGCUCUCUCUCUCUCCCUUUCUCUCUGCCUCAUUAUUUUACUGUUCUUUAAAAGCCAGCAUUUGCAAGAACCUCAGUGUUCACGUAAAAAUAAAAGCUUAAACCAUUUGUGGCUGAAAAGAAAUGGCUGAGGAUAUCAAUUUUACAUGCCUUCAGAUAGUAAAAAAGAACAAAAGGAAUGUCCACAAAUUAGGGAAAAACUACAAUGAUUUUAUAAUAUUGGGGCUAUAUCUGCUCAGCUGUGAGUUCUGGGGCGAGAUGAAAAAUAUCAGGCAUGGGCAAACUUUGUCCCUCCAGAUGUUUUGGACUUGAACUACUACAACAGCUGGUAAGCUGGCUGGGGGUUUUGGGAGUUGAAGUCCAAAAGAUCAGGAGGGACAAAGUUUGCCCAUGCCUGAAGUAUAGGCUGUGGGGGUUGGAAAGAAUUACCCUUUUCUCAAAACAGUCCAAUUACUCACUUUGAAAUCCCAUUGACUUCAAUGGAAGUACAACCUAGACUUUUGGUCCAAAACUAUUUAGUUGCUUGUGAUUUCUUUUCUUUUUUUUUAAUUUCCAUUAUUUGAAAUGUAUUUGUUGUACAAUGCUUUUGACACGAAAUAAAUAAAUAAAUAACCACCUAGACUGCACCUACACUGUAGAAAUAAUGCAAUUAAAUACCACCUAAACUAUAUCUACACUGUAGAAACAAUAGACACCACUUCAAUUUGCCAUGGCUCAAUAUUCUAGAACAAUGGGAGUUUUACUUUUUAAUGUCUUUAGUAUGGAGCUGAUGUAGCAUAAUGCAGCUUUGAACCAUGUCACAGAAUAGUCCAGAACUUUCCCAGAACUCUAGAACAAGGGUUUUCAAACUGCUCCCAAGGGCGGUUCACCUGUUAGGCCAACUAGGCGGUUGCCGAGGCGCUUCUAAGUUGAGCAGCUUCUUGUCUUUUUUUCCUUUCCCCCCUCCCUUUUCCUGCACUUGGAUUUGCACCAAUAUAAUUUAUGUCAGCGUUCCUGUUGGAGAAACUGGUUGUUUGAGACAUUAUGAACUGCCUCCCAUGGGAAAUACAGGAAAUUGGAGCUGGGAUCUUGUUGGUCAAUCUCAACCAGUAUAGAUCUAUUGAAUUGACUGCUGAAUUGUGAGUCAACAUAUAGUUAGCAGCAACUUCCCGUCGCAUGUCAGGAGGAGUUGAAGAUGGCAAGUCCCUGUUUGAAUGGUGAAAAAGGAGUUUCCGUACCUAUCAGUGAUUGCAUAGGGCAAGAGCUUGUGUUUUCUGCCCUUAGAGAUUUGUCUCAGCAUUCAGAGAACUAACACUCCAAAUUGACUACUAGACAGGAAUAAAGGCAGCUAUACCUUCUUAUCCUGGAAGAUUAUGUGAGUUGCAGUCAAAAAAAGUUUGCAAGCUCUAGUUUUCAUAUAAAAUGCCCGAAUAGUGUUGCCAGCCCAGCAUACAGCAGAUAGAUGUUAUCAGAAAAAGGCUAGAAAGGUUUUUAAAAAACACACCCAAAAUUGCUGAAUUUAACUACUCCUAAAGAUUAAUGGACAUCCAAAAGCAUGUACAUGAUUCUAGAGGGAACCACAUGAAGUCCAAGGAUGUGUCUGUGGGGGAGGUUGUGGGAAAGCGAGCUCUUGUCUUUCGGAGAAAUCUGCUCUAGUAAUUGCAUGUGAUAAUUAAAGCUGAUUCAAUCUU